CCGACCGUCGCCCGCGUCGAUCGCGUCCCUCCGAAGAGAUCGAUGGCGAUCUCCGUGAGGCUUCGAGUCGGCGCGACCGUCGCCCUGCUCUCUCCGUCCUUCCGCCUUAGAUGCCAACGCCUUGGUGCUGGAGCUCGAAAUGGCAGUGGAUUGCUACGUUUGGGUCCCCAUGGAGGUGGUCAAAUGAGUCUCUGAUCCUUCAAUUUAGGGCCCCUAGGCUUUCCUUGAUAUUUUUGGUCUAAUUGGUGAUGGGAACAAGAGUGUUCCAGAGAUGUGAUCGCCAUGAACCAGAGAAUCAAAGGAAAGAUUGAUGGUUGAAGUUAAUAUCCACGUUUUUAAUUAACGAAAAAUGUGGAUACUUUAUUUAUUUAGAUAUCAUGUUUAGAGUCGUGAAAUUGAUGGUGUUAAAUAAUUCAACAUCGAGUAUGAGUAUGUUCUGACUAAUGUAAUUAUGUCACAUAAUAUUUAGGAUAUUUGAUGUUCAUGUUCAUAUAUAGUGCUACUUCAUUUUGCUAUGCUAAAAGCUGAAUUAAUGUACAGAGAUAGGAUUUGGGAUUUCUGAAUCAAGUUUCAAAUUUACUUGAUUCCGUAACUUUCUUUUAAUCUUGGCGUCGUCUUGUGACAAUUAUUAUGCACAUUUUUCCAGCUAUAUUUGAUCUCUAGGAGAUUACGAAAACUUCGGAAAAUAGUAAAAAAACUUCCGAAAAACUUUCUUUUAAUUCCGUAGCUUUCUUUUAAUCUUGGCAUCCUCUUGUGACAAUUAUUUUCCUAUAAUGUGCACAUUUUUCCAGCUAUAAUUGAUCUCUAGGAGAUUAUGAAAACUUAAGAAAAUAGUAAAAAGACUUCCGAAAAAUCAUUUCUGGUUGAAUGAAUCCAUUCAAGUUGCGCUACACAGCCCCUCCAGUAAACGGCAGGUUGAUAAAGGGCUGGUAGCCAGGCUCGUCGAUCACUCCAUUGUUCUGAUGCUUACACAUCAUUUUCAGGCCUUUAGACCGGUAUUUGAUCGAUUAUUCAAAUUCCAUAGAAAUAGUAGGAAUUGGUUCAUGACGCAAUCUAGCAUCUUUUUUGUGUUUCAAAAUUUUGCACUUAACGUAUGUCUUAUUUUUUGGUUCCCCGUUCAUUUACAAUUUGAUUGGAAGUCGAGGCGUAUCUUAUUGAUUGAGGCAAAAAUUUGUGUGUAUGGUUUGGAGGAUGAUCAUCCAGCCCCAGUUGUUUCAUGUUUCUUAAUAGGAAAUGAGGAUUGUGAAAGUUGGGUACAGGUGACAUGAUAAUAUUUCGAUAUCCUCAUCUGACAGCAAAAGAGAAAUGCUGCCAAAUGCAUGUAGUUGUGCUUAACUGUCACUUUUGAAUCUUGUGUUACUGGUGAUCAAUAAUGCCGUCUUCUUUUGUCGAUUCAUCAUAAUGCUUUGCCAUUGACAAAGUACACAAGUAGAACUGCUGGAACUUGCCAAAACUUUAGUUCCAUUCUAGCUUUCAUUAUCAUCAUGAUUUGGUCCAUUUAACUAUUUGGUUUUUAUAUCUACUGUCAACAAACGCUUGUUUCUUUAUCCUUGCUAAUAGAGCCCUUGAGUGCACCAUCUCAGGGGGAUUGUUCCUCGAUCAAAAUAAUUCUGAUGCUUUUUUAGGUCACAUGAUCUUUGCACUCUUCAAUAAAUCCAUGUUUCUUUUGCUCUUAUUGGAACUCUUAUGAGCCUCUUGGGUUUUCUAUUUGGUUGUUCUCUAUAUGUUGAGAUGGCUUCGUUUGUGCAAGCACAUGAAACAAAUUAUGAUUGGUAUGUUAACUGGAAUUGAUUUAUUUGAUGAAAUGUAUAUGUACGGCAGAAGAAAUAACAGCCCGUCUAGCUCAGUCGGUAGAGCGCAAGGCUCUUAACCUUGUGGUCGUGGGUUCGAGCCCCACGGUGGGCGUGUUUAACUCUUUUUGAUUUAAUGCGAUUUAUUUUUUCUAAUAUUGGUGAGGUUAGAUCGAAAGAAUAUAUUUUGUCUAUAAUGGUUAAAAUGCAUACCUUUUCUCCUACUAGUGUAUUUUAGGGUAUGUUUCCAUGGAUCACACAGGCGAUCGUCUCGGUGCUUGUCCGGCUGUGCUGAAAUGAAUCAAAUGCUUCCUUAAUUGCACUGAAUAGCUGUGUAUUAUCACUACAUGUCACUCUAUUCAUAGAAGUAUGCUGAUGUACACGACUGUAGAUCAUCCAUAGGGAAGACGAAAAGUUUCGACACAGACACUAGCUAUAUCCUGCUGAGCUAUGUACUGCAGCCUCCUGCUUGCUUCAGCUCUCUUUUUCGUUCUUUGCUACUGCGGGGGCUGGUAGCUUUACAGUGGUGGUGGGUUUCAUUCGCUCAGCGGCCAAAACUCCCACCACUGUGAAUUGUUGCACGACUGGUCCGACGGCCAGCUGGUGGUCAAACAAAACUGUUGCUCGGCCGACGAGGUCAAGGAGGAGAUCGCUGGCUGUCCGGCGCACAGGUUUAGUUCGUCCUCGCUGAAGUAUCUCGGCUUCUUGUCCUCCUCGUCCGCGCAGACUGCGAACUCCAGAUCUGCUUCCUCUUUCAGCGACAGCCUCGAGCUCUGAUCCUUUUUUAUCUCGGAAUCUCGAUCGUUUGAGCCCUCGUCGUCUCUGUUGCUUCUCUCCUCUGCCUUGUCUAUCAGUUCUGCCAGGUCUUGCAGCUGCGGGUGACGGAGGAUGGGUGAGCGGUCGACGGAAGCAGCACGGGAAAAGACGAUGAUGGUGACACGGGAAGGCGGCGGUGGGUUACCUGCUGGAGCAGCAACUGCUUCUCUUUCUUCAGGGAGUCGAAGCUGGAGAGCAGUGCAUCGUAGUCGGCUUUGAGGCCGCGGUACUCCCGCUCGAGCUGCUUCGACUUCCACCGCGCCCGCUUGUUCUGGAACCAUAUGGCGACCUGGCGGGGCUGCAGGCCGAGCUCCCGCGCCAGCUGCAGCUUCUGCCGGGGCUCCAGCUUCGUCUGCGUCUCGAACAUGGACUCCAUCGACUUGAUCUGCUCCUCGCUGAACCUCCUCCUCGUCCUCCUCCUGUCACCCUUGCCCUUGCUGCUCUCCGCCGUCGGGUUCAUCCAGCUGCAGCAGUCUCCCUCCUCCGCGGCAGACUGCUCCUCCUCGCUCUCCAUCAUCUCGCAGGCUGAGCCCUCAGUCAGCCACCACCACCACCAGCAGCAGCAGCAGGGAGAGGAGGUGGGCGGAUGGAUGGAUGGAUGUGCUGCUCGAUGUCCGCCGCGGAUAAAUGCUCUUGUAGAAAGCUCGGAGACGAACUGUUCCUAAGGAGCGACUACACCUGUGCGGGAUGGAUUGCACGCCCGUCUUGUAAUUGAUUUGAUGGAACAACCGAUCCAAUGGCAGCUGCUGUCGUGGAGAAAUCAGCUUCCAUACGUCCCUUUCACA